GCCGAUGGUAUGAUUUGGUUAUGGAAGGGUAACAUAGUUACAUGGCUGAAAAGAGACAUGUGUCCAUCAAGUUCAGCGUUCCUCACAUAUGUUUUUGCUGUUAAUCCAAAAGAAGGCAAAAAACACAGUCUGAAGCGCUUCCAAUUUUGCAACAAACUAGGAAAAAAUUCCUUCUUGACUCCAAAAUAGGAGUCAGAUAUCUACUUGGAUCAAGCAGCUAUUACCCCACUAAUUAGAAAUGAUAUCCCUGUAUGUUAUGUUUUUGCAAGUAUUUAUCCAAUUGCAGUUUAAAC